rnacentral:rRNA from 1 species
UGAAUACGAGACGCUACGGCGUCGAAGCAGUCUAUGUCAUACUUCCAAGAAAAGCUUGCACUGUCAUAAACAAAUAAUGCCUGUACCAUAACCGACACAGGUGGGUAGGUAGAGUAUACUAAGGGGCGCGAGAUAACUCUCUCUAAGGAACUCGGCAAAAUGACUCCGUAACUUCGGGAGAAGGAGUGCCUUAUUUAUAAGGUUGCAAUAACAAGAUCCAAGCAACUGUUUAUCAAAAACACAGGUCUCCGCUAAGUCGUAAGACGAUGUAUGGGGGCUGACGCCUGCCCAGUGCCAGAAGGUUAAAGAAGUUGGUUAGCAUUAGCGAAGCUGAUAACUGAAGCCCUGGUGAACGGCGGCCGUAACAAUAACGGUCCUAAGGUAGCGAAAUUCCUUGUCGGGUAAGUUCCGACCCGCACGAAAGGCGUAAUGAUUUGGAUACUGUCUCAGAGAGGGGCUCGGUGAAAUAGACUUGUCUGUGAAGAUGCGGACUACCUGCACCAGGACAGAAAGACCCUAUGAAGCUUUACUGUAACUUGAAAUUGAAAUUGGACUUUAUUUGCGCAGUAUAGGUGGGAGGCAUUGAUAAUAUUCUUGCGGGAAUGUUGGAGCCAUCAGUGAGAUACCACUCUUGUAAUGUUAGAUUUCUAACUUUGGAUCAUUAUCUGGUCAAAGGACAGUUUCAGGCGGGCAGUUUGACUGGGGCGGUCGCCUCCUAAAUGGUAACGGAGGCGCACAAAGGUUUCCUCUGAACGGGUAGAAAUCGUAUCUAGAGUGUAAAGGCAUAAGGAAGCUUGACUGUGAGACCUACAAGUCGAGCAGGGACGAAAGUCGGUCUUAGUGAUCUGACGGUGCUGAGUGGAAAGGCCGUCACUCAACGGAUAAAAGUUACUCUAGGAUAACAGGCUGAUCUCCCCCAAGAGUUCACAUCGACGGGGAGGUUUGGCACCUCGAUGUCGGCUCAUCGCAUCCUGGGGCGGUAGUACGUCCCAAGGGUUGGGCUGUUCGCCCAUGAAAGCGGUACGCGAGCUGGGUUCAGAACGUCGUGAGACAGUUCGGUCCAUAUCCGGUGUAGGCGUUAGAAUAUUGAGAGGAGCCUUCUUUAGUACGAGAGGACCGAGAAGGACAUACCUCUGGUGUACCAGUUAUCGUGCCAACGGUAAACGCUGGGUAGCUAUGUAUGGAGAGGAUAACCGCUGAAAGCAUCUAAGUGGGAAGCCCACCUCAAGAUAAG